rnacentral:rRNA from 1 species
GACGAACGCUGGCGGCGUGCUUAACACAUGCAAGUCGAACGGUGACCCAGGGCUUGCCCUGGUGAUCAGUGGCGAACGGUGAGUAACACGUGGGCAACCUGCCCCCUGACUUCGGGAUAACUCCUCGAAAGAGGAGCUAAUACCGGAUACGACCGCUUCGGACAUCCGAUGGUGGUGGAAAGUUCUUCGGUCAGGGAUGGGCCCGCGGCCUAUCAGCUAGUUGGUGGGGUAAUGGCCUACCAAGGCGACGACGGGUAGCCGGCCUGAGAGGGCGACCGGCCACACUGGGACUGAGACACGGCCCAGACUCCUACGGGAGGCAGCAGUGGGGAAUAUUGCGCAAUGGGCGAAAGCCUGACGCAGCGACGCCGCGUGAGGGAUGAAGGCCUUCGGGUUGUAACCGU